UACAGAGGGUGCGAGCGUUGUCCGGAAUCACUGGGCGUAAAGGGCGCGUAGGCGGCUUGAUAAGGUUGCGGUGAAAGCCCGGGGCUCAACCCCGGGUCGGCCGUGGCAACUGUCGAGCUGGAGCACUGUAGAGGCAGGUGGAAUUCCGGGUGUAGCGGUGGAAUGCGUAGAGAUCUCCAAGAACACCCGUUGCGAAGGCGGCUAGCUGGGUUCACAUUGACGCUGAGGCUCGAAAGCGUGGGGAGCAAACAGG
rnacentral:rRNA from 1 species